UACGAAGGGGACUAGCGUUGUUCGGAAUCACUGGGCGUAAAGCGCACGUAGGCGGAUUCGUAAGUCAGGGGUGAAAUCCCGGGGCUCAACUUCGGAACUGCCUUUGAUACUGCGGGUCUUGAGUCCGAUAGAGGUGGGUGGAAUUCCUAGUGUAGAGGUGAAAUUCGUAGAUAUUAGGAAGAACACCGGUGGCGAAGGCGGCCCACUGGAUCGGUACUGACGCUGAGGUGCGAAAGCGUGGGGAGCAAACAGGAU
rnacentral:rRNA from 1 species